rnacentral:pre_miRNA from 1 species
AAAGUAUUCUUCCGUCCAACAAAAGAUGUCUUAACUUUGACUAAAUUUGAAUGCAUUUAUACACUAAGUCAUGUCUAGAUACAUCCAAAUUUUGACAAACUUGAGACAUCUUUUGUUAGACGGAGGGAGUAUGCU